rnacentral:rRNA from 1 species
UAGUAACGGCGAGUGAAGAGGGAUUAGCCCAGCACCGAAUUCUGCAGUGUUACGCUGUUAGAAAAUGUGGUGUUUAGGUGUGUUUCUGUGCCUUGUGUCCCAUCCUAAGUCCACUUGAUUGUGGCUCUUAGCCCAUAGACGGUGUUAGGCCGGUAUGGACGGGUACGCUUGGUAUCUGAACUCACCUUAGAGUCGGGUUGCUUGAGAAUGCAGCCCAAAGCGGGUGGUAAACUCCAUCCAAGGCUAAAUACUUGCACAAGUCCGAUAGUAAACAAGUACCGUGAGGGAAAGUUGAAAAGAACUUUGAAGAGAGAGUUCAAUAGUGCGUGAAGCCGCAUAAAGGUAAACGGGUAGAGCUGAAAUUGAUGUCGGGAACUCAGCUAGGAGAAAGUGUUCGGUGUGUUGGGCUGUAGAUUCGCUUUUUCGAACAGCAGUCCGCGUGUCCAGCUUUCUUCUAGUGCACUUUCCCGAUGUCAGCACCACGACCAGUGGGAAUGUUGGUCUGUUGUGGAGAGGCGGUAGCAUUGCUUCGGUAGUGUGAUGACUCUCCACUCGGAUCUAGCAGGGCACUGGGGACAGCGACGCAAGCACCUCUUGCACACAUGUUUCAUUGCGGCAGAUCCUGGCUUAAUCGCAACUUCCAAGGAGUUCUUUUGGGCUGGAUUUGUCGUUGGUGGGGCCGCUGUGAUUUGUGUCAAUAGUCAGUGGUGUACAAGUAGGUAGUCUACCCGACCCGUCUUGAAACACGGACCAAGAAGUCCGACAUAUACGCAAGUCAUUGGGUUUUACGAAACCCAUAGGCGAAAUCAAAGUAAAGGUCUACCUUUUUGUAGGCUGAGGUGUGAUCCUGGUCCUACAUAGUAGGCUGGGCGCAACACCGGCCCGUCCAAUGGUCUUUUGAUCCGGGCGGAGCUAGAGCGUAUAUGUCGGGACCCGAAAGAUGGUGAACUAUGCUUGGGCAGGUCGAAGCCAGAGGAAACUCUGGUGGAGGACCGUAACGAUUCUGACGUGCAAAUCGAUCGUCAGACCUGAGUAUAGGGGCGAAAGACUAAUCGAACCAUCUAGUAGCUGGUUCCCUCCGAAGUUUCCCUCAGGAUAGCUGGCACUCGCCAAUUCAGUUCUACCCGGUAAAGCGAAUGAUUAGAGGUACCGGUGUCGAAAUGAUGUCGACCUAUUCUCAAACUUUAAAUGGGUAGGAGGUUCGACUCUCUUAAUUGGAGUUGGGCUUUGAAUGAGAGUUGCCAAGUGGGCCAUUUUUGGUAAGCAGAACUGGCGCUGUGGGAUGAACCAAACGUCCGGAUAAGGUGCCUAACACAACGCUCAUGAGAUACCACAAAAGGUGUUGGUUGAUCCAGACAGCAGGACGGUGGCCAUGGAAGUUGGAAUCCGCUAAGGAGUGUGUAACAACUCACCUGCCGAAUCAACCAGCCCUGAAAAUGGAUGGCGCUGGAGCGUUGGACCUAUACCGGACCGUUACGGCAAAACUUUGAUAGCAUGCCGUAACGAGUAGGAGGGCCGCCGUGGUGAGCGUCGAAGCUAUGGCCGUGAGGUCAGGUGGAGCCGCCACGGGUGCAGAUCUUGGUGGUAGUU